rnacentral:lncRNA from 1 species
GGCUCGAUGAUUCUUAAUUUGCUCAUCAAAACUGCUACUGUUUUCUCAUCUUUACUACUCACAUUUGUCAUGUUAUUUAAAUGGAAGAACAUAUCUCUGAAGUUUCUAGCCAAAUGUUUGAUAAUAUAAUAAAUAUUAAAUUAGAAAAUUAAUUUAUAAUUAAAAAUGCCAGUACUUUUAUAAAAUUGAAGUUUUAGCUGCCUUCCACUCAGUUUUACAGACUUGCACUAUUUAUAUUUUUAAGUCAUCAAGUAAGAAUGGGAAAAAUUGAUUACCAUGAAGUCUUUGCAUAUUUGUUCCCGAUGGGAGACGAGCUGAAUCCCAGAACAGAAAGCCCUGAAUGGUGUAUUGAAGGCUAGACAAGCAUUCACACAUUGGCUUCUUUGGUACCAGGUAAUUAGAAUUUGUAAUUUGGUCUUAAUUAAAUUACAGACUACUGAAAGGCCUUGGUCAGUGGUCUUUUGCCUGUAUCCACUCUAUUUGGAGAAAAAAAAUAGACGUUAAAAAUACACAGACUUAAUUCUCCUUCAUGUCCUCCCACUCCAUCCAACCCCACUAGAUAUAUACUUACAUUGGGUACAGUGUCAACAUAUAUCAAAUGUGCCAAUUAAAGUCAGAGCUCCUCUCAACUACCAAGCAUGUUUUUAUUUUUAACUUAGCAGCAGAGAUAGUGGCUGGGCAGCACCAAUUCAGUCAUUCCUGUGUACCACCGACUUCUCACCAGCUUUGAGCUUGAUCUUCAAAACUGUCCCCAGUUACAACUUCUACUCACCUCUUGAGAGGCUGCCGUGUCCUGCCUUCUUGGAGCUGCCAAUCUUGAAAGGACUUAGAUUUGAAACGUUUAAUGAAGGAGUUGGGUGUCUGCACUGGGUACAUGAUAAGGGUAUGUGCGUUUGGGGAAGCCAAAAAAGAGGAAUCUUCCUAAGAGAACAUUUGACUUUUGAUACGAAAGUUUCAUAAAUUGAUUUAACAGAAGUUCUAGAUAGUGUUUGUACAUUCCAUUUUAUCAUAAAUUAUGCUGCAGUAUGUUGUUUCUCUCUGGACACCUUGACAGUGGAGUGGUAAAUUCUCCCACCCUCUCUAAUGGGCAUCCAUAGGACAGUUUUCUCUGACACACUCUGGUCCUAAGACUAUUGGCAUCGUUUCCUGAUGUUUUGGAAGUUCUUUGGUCAAAGGAAUGGCCUGUUAUUUGCUUAACUCCCUGGGAACUCCACUUAAACCAUAAAAAUCCCUCUUUUCUAAACAGAGCCUCACCUUACUACCUUUGCCAAAGCACAGCAAGGAUUUAUCAUGGUGCUACAUCAUGCAUUUGAAUAUGAACUGACGCUUUAGUUGAAGUAGUUGAUGUUGUCUGAAUGAUAACUCGUAACCUGAGAAGCCCUGAUAUAACGAAAGGGGUAUAAAUUUGCAUGAUUUGUGCUGUAAGCAAUAUUUAUAAUGUAAGAGGGCUUUAAAGAUUAAUAUAUUCCCAGAGCAACACAUGAAAGAGACAGAAAAGGUUAUUCAAUGAUCAUCCAAAUGCAGUAUUUAUUUGCCAUUCUUUCACCUGAAAGAUUUUCUUAGAUUUUUUUCUUUCUAUCCCAUUAAUUUAGUAUACAAAGAGGACAUCAGUGUCUCUCUAAUUUCAAAAUAUUUUCUGCAAGUUUAACUCUUUUAAUCAAGGAGAGGAAGCACAAUACUGCUUGAAGAAAUAGUUGAUUGAUGUCUCUCAUUAGUUAAAUGGCCUACAGUAGUUUUAAGUUCUUAUAUCAUUAACUCCUUAUUUUGAGAAUCAAAUAGCUUGAAGUAUUUUUCACAAAAUAGUUACAUUAUUGUUUUAUCUAAUUAUCAAUUGGUAGAAGGAGAAAUUGAUUCUUAAAGCCCCUAAAGAAAGUAUAUAAUUACAAAGUUUGAGUAUUGAAGUCUGAGGUUGACAACACACUUAGAGUGUCCUCAGAAUAAUUUCUUCAAAAUUACUUGUCAUGCACUUUUCACUUUCUGUCUAAAAAUAUAGGAAGUUUUCAAAAUGGCUUCAUACUCCUUGUUUUUUCUCAUCUUAAAAAUCAAAUGAAGGGGCUGGCUUGGUGGUAGUGAGUAAGUUUACGUGCUCCGCUUUGGUGGCCCAUGGUUCACUGGUUCAGAUCCCAGGCGGGUGUGGACCUACACGCCACUCAUCAAGCCAUGCUGUGGUGGCAUCUCACAUGGAAGAGCUAGAGGGACUUAUAACUAGGAUAUACAACUAUACACUGGGGCUUUGGGAAGAAAAAAAAAGAGGAUGACUGGAAACAGAUGUUAGCUCAUGGCCAAUCUUCCUCACCAAAAAAUAAAGCAUAUCUUUGAAAAAAAAAGGAGAGUAAG